rnacentral:rRNA from 1 species
AGUUUGAUCAUGGCUCAGAAUCAACGCUGGCGGCGUGCCUCAGACAUGCAAGUCGAACGCGAAAGUCCCCUUCGGGGGACAAGUAGAGUGGCGCACGGGUGAGUAACACGUAGGUAAUCUACCUUCGGAUGGGGAAUAACAAUCGGAAACGGUUGCUAAUACCGCAUAAUGCAGCGGCACCUAAUGGUGACAGUUGUUAAAGCGGGGGAUCGAAAGACCUCGCGUCUGAAGAGGAGCCUGCGGCGGAUUAGCUAGUUGGUAAGGUAAUGGCUUACCAAGGCUACGAUCCGUAACCGGCCUGAGAGGGCGGUCGGUCACACUGACACUGACAUACGGGUCAGACUCCUACGGGAGGCAGCAGUCGGGAAUUUUGGGCGAUGGGCGAAAGCCUGACCCAGCAACGCCGCGUGAAGGAUGAAAUCCCUCGGGAUGUAAACUUCGCAAGAACAGGAAGAAUAAGUAGGGGACAAUACCCCCUAUGAUGACGGUACUGUUUGUAAGCUCCGGCUAACUCCGUGCCAGCAGCCGCGGUAAUACGGGGGGAGCAAGCGUUGUUCGGAUUUACUGGGCGUAAAGGGCGCGUAGGCGGCCAGCACAAGUCAGUUGUGAAAUCUCCGAGCUUAACUCGGAAAGGUCAACUGAUACUGUGCGGCUAGAGUGCAGAAGGGG